rnacentral:rRNA from 1 species
GUUUCUUUUUGUACCAGUCUGAAAGUGUCUGAUCUCGUCACAUCUCAGAAGUCAUCCAGACUCGGGCCUAGUUAGGACUUGUAUGGGAGACCAACUAGAAUCCUCAGGUGCCGUAAGCU